AGUAAUACAAGGCAGACGGCUCAGUAACGCGUAGUCAACCUAACCUAUGGACGGGAAUAACCUCGGGAAACUGAGUAUAAUGCCCGAUAGAACAUUAUGCCUGGAAUGGUUUAUGUUCCAAAUGAUUUAUCGCCGUAGGAUGGGACUGCGGCCUAUCAGUUUGUUGGUGAGGUAAUGGCCCACCAAGACUAUUACAGGUACGGGCUCUGAGAGGAGUAGCCCGGAGAUGGGUACUGAGACACGGACCCAGGCCCUAUGGGGCGCAGCAGGCGAGAAAACUUUGCAAUGUGCGAAAGCACGACAAGGUUAAUCCGAGUGAUUUCUGCUAAAGAAAUCUUUUGCCAGUCAUAAAACCACUGGUGAAUAAGGGGUGGGCAAGUUCUGGUGUCAGCCGCCGCGGUAAAACCAGCACCUCAAGUGGCCAGGAUGAUUAUUGGGCCUAAAGCAUCCGUAGCCGGCUUUGUAAGUUUUCGGUUAAAUCCAUGUGCUCAACGCAUGGGCUGCCGAAAAUACUGCAUGGCUAGGGAGUGGGAGAGGUAGACGGUACUCAGUAGGAAGGGGUAAAAUCCUUUGAUCUAUUGAUGACCACCUGUGGCGAAGGCGGUCUACCAGAACACGUUCGACGGUGAGGGAUGAAAGCUGGGGGAGCAAACCGGAUUAGAUACCCGGGUAGUCCCAGCUGUAAACGAUGCAGACUCGAUGAUGCAUUGGCAUAUAGCCAGUGCAGUGUCGCAGGGAAGCCGUUAAGUCUGCCGCCUGGGAAGUACGUACGCAAGUAUGAAACUUAAAGGAAUUGGCGGGGGAGCACCACAAGGGGUGAAGCCUGCGGUUCAAUU
rnacentral:rRNA from 1 species